AUCCUCGUCCGUGGUGAUUUGGCCGGCCGGCUUGCAGCCACGUUAAACAAGUCGCUAAAGGGCCGAGAUGCAGGAAAC
rnacentral:ncRNA from 2 species